UCCAAGGUUUAAUUGGCACGCUCACAACAUACACCCGGAACCUGCAACGAAUAGCUUUUAUCUUUCUUCAGUGAAUAUCCAUUUAUAGCUAUGCAUUACAGUAAUAUUGUUGUUUAUUUUCACAAAUAAUGUCAUUGAUUGUAAGUAAGGGAAAGCUAUAUAAAUGUGUGGUGCCUUGCUAUGUUUUGUAACCCACGAAGAUGCUUAUAUGAAGAGGUUGUUUCAGAUAAUCACUUAUGUUCUGAUAAUCACAUUUAAAUGAAAAUAUACCAUACACGCAGCUACUUAAAUUAUACUACCAUUAUGUAAAUUAUGAUUAAAUAUAGUCUACUGUGAAAAUGUUUUCAGAACCAAUUUGAUCGGUUGUUUGUUUCAGGGGGACAUAAAUGACCACAACAACGGUUUGUUUUUAUCGGAAGUAUCUUGCAAGCCUGCGCAAUCCGUUCAUUGGUCAGUGCUUCUAUAACUUCAAUGUUCCCAUUUCUUAUUUUUAUGUUACAAAUCAAGAAAGUUUAUUUAUGAAUUUGUAUUUGAAAGCUUCGCAUAUUAAAAUGUUAGUCAGUUACAGUAGCAGCUCUGAAGAGGAAAUACAAAAUGUACUAUUAGAGGAUGUAACAAAAAGGCUACGAUGUUAACUCAUUAAGGAAGAAGCACAAAUCAGAGGAACACGCCACCAAAACAAGGGAGGAAGAUGACUCCAAGUCCAGACUGCCUCUUCCUGGCAGUUUGCUGGACAUUUUUACAGAGGAAGAUGAUGACCCACAGACUGUGGACAGCAUACAACAUGGUGGACGGAUUCGCUCUUUCAAACACGAGAGGAGAGGGGAAACUGGGCCACUUAUGUGUACUUUCCAUACAUCCCAGAGGAAGGGUUAUUGGAGCUGCUUGAUAAGAUGACUAAAGUAGCAGGAUCCCAUGACAUCUCCCUCACUCAUACAGACGAGUUUCACCUCAGUCUAAGACAGUGGUUCUGAGGCAUCACUGGAUCCAGCCUUCCAUACAGUCCCUCAGAACAGGCUUGGCACAUGGCAGGAGAUCUGCUAUAGUACAAACAACAUUUAUGUUUUGUCCCUUUUGUUUGUGGAAUUGGUGUUACUAUUCUCUGUUAUAUUUUGGUUAGAGGAUGCAUGUCACCAGAGGUAUGCUGGCAGGAAACAAAUACUCUGCUAAAUAGUCUGAAUGAGGUAAAGUGAUUGCAAUCUUUUGUAUAGGUUAAUUUCUUUGGCUGAGAAACUGAAGGUCCACUCUAAUGAUGAUAAAACCAGGUACAGUAGGAUCUCUUAUCAAAAUGUGCCAAGCCUGUUCCGAGCAUGCCCCCAUUCACAUCGACGCGGCUGUAGUGGCGCGGGUCGAGAGCUUCAAGUUCCUCAGUGUCCACAUCAUUAAGGAUCUAUCAUGGGCCAAACACACCAACACAGUCAUGAAGAGGGAAGGACAACUUCUCUUUCUCCUCAGGAAGCUGGACAAAUUUGGCGUGCGCUCUCAGAUCCUCAAAAAGUUCUACAGCUGCACCAUUGAGAGCAUCAUGACUGGCUGCACCACCACUUGUUAUGGCAACUGCUUGGCUUCCGACCGUAAGGCACUACAAAGGGUAGCUCGUACGGUCUAGUACAUCACUGGGGCUGAGCUCCCUGCCAUACAGGACCUCUAUACCAGGCUGUGUCAGAGGAAGGCCCUAAAAAUUGUCAGACUCCAGCCACCCAUCAUAGACUGUUCUCUCUGCUACCUCUCGGCAAGCAGUACCGGAGUGCCAAAUCUGGGACCAAAAGGCU